rnacentral:snRNA from 1 species
GGAUGUGAGGGCGAUCUGGCUGCGACAUCUGUCACCCCAUUGAUGGCCAGGGUUGAUUCGGCUGAUCUGGCUGGCUAGGCGGGUGUCCCCUUCCUCCCUCACCGCUCCAUGUGCGUCCCUCCCGAAGCUGCGCGCUCGGUCGAAGAGUACGACCAUCCCCGAUAGAGAAGGACCGGUCUUCGGUCAAGGGUAUACGAGUAGCUGCGCUCCCCUGCUAGAACCUCCAAACAAGCUCUCAAGAUUUUAUAUUUGUUUCUUUUUAGUGAAGAAUUUUUGCUUUCUCAGUCAGGAAUCAGCUUUCUU